UAGGGAAUCUUCGGCAAUGGACGAAAGUCUGACCGAGCAACGCCGCGUGAGUGAAGAAGGUUUUCGGACCGUAAAACUCUGUUGUUAGAGAAGAACAAGGGUGAGAGUAACUGUUCACCCCUUGACGGUAUCUAACCAGAAAGCCACGGCUAACUACGUGCCAG
rnacentral:rRNA from 1 species